CCUUUUGUAUAAUGGGUCAGCGACUUAUAUUCUGUAGCAAGGUUAACCGAAUAGGGGAGCCGAAGGGAAACCGAGUCUUAACUGGGCGUUAAGUUGCAGGGUAUAGACCCGAAACCCGGUGAUCUAGCCAUGGGCAGGUUGAAGGUUGGGUAACACUAACUGGAGGACCGAACCGACUAAUGUUGAAAAAUUAGCGGAUGACUUGUGGCUGGGGGUGAAAGGCCAAUCAAACCGGGAGAUAGCUGGUUCUCCCCGAAAGCUAUUUAGGUAGCGCCUCGUGAACUCAUCUCCGGGGGUAGAGCACUGUUUCGGCAAGGGGGUCAUCCCGACUUACCAACCCGAUGCAAACUGCGAAUACCGGAGAAUGUUAUCACGGGAGACACACGGCGGGUGCUAACGUCCGUCGUGAAGAGGGAAACAACCCAGACCGCCAGCUAAGGUCCCAAAGUCAUGGUUAAGUGGGAAACGAUGUGGGAAGGCCCAGACAGCCAGGAUGUUGGCUUAGAAGCAGCCAUCAUUUAAAGAAAGCGUAAUAGCUCACUGGUCGAGUCGGCCUGCGCGGAAGAUGUAACGGGGCUAAACCAUGCACCGAAGCUGCGGCAGCGACGCUUAUGCGUUGUUGGGUA
rnacentral:rRNA from 1 species